GAUGAACGCUGGCGGCGUGCCUAAUACAUGCAAGUCGAGCGAAUGGAUUAAGAGCUUGCUCUUAUGAAGUUAGCGGCGGACGGGUGAGUAACACGUGGGUAACCUGCCCAUAAGACUGGGAUAACUCCGGGAAACCGGGGCUAAUACCGGAUAACAUUUUGAACCGCAUGGUUCGAAAUUGAAAGGCGGCUUCGGCUGUCACUUAUGGAUGGACCCGCGUCGCAUUAGCUAGUUGGUGAGGUAACGGCUCACCAAGGCAACGAUGCGUAGCCGACCUGGGAGGGUGAUAGGCCACCCUGGGACUGAGACACGGCCCAGACUCCUACGGGAGGCAGCAGUAGGGAAUCUUCCGCAAUGGACGAAAGUCUGACGGAGCAACGCCGCGUGAGUGAUGAAGGCUUUCGGGUCGUAGAACUCUGUUGUUAGGGAAGAACAAGUGCUAGUUGAAUAAGCUGGCACCUUGACGGUACCUAACCAGAAAGCCACGGCUAACUACGUGCCAGCAGCCGCCGUAA
rnacentral:rRNA from 1 species